rnacentral:rRNA from 2 species
CAAGAUUGAAACUCAAAGGAAUUGACGGGGGCCCGCACAAGCGGAGGAACAUGCGGUUUAAUUCGAUGAUACGCGAGGAACCUUACCUGGGCUUAAAUGUAGAUUGCUUGAAUGGGAAACCAUUCUUUCUUCGGACAAUUUACAAGGUGCUGCAUGGUUGUCGUCAGCUCGUGCCGUGAGGUGUCGGGUUAAGUCCCAUAACGAGCGCAACCCCUAUCGUUAGUUGCUAGCAGGUAAUGCUGAGGACUCUAGCGAGACUGCCGGUGUAAACCGCGAGGAAGGUGGGGAUGACGUCAAAUCAGCACGGCCCUUACGUCCAGGGCUACACACGUGUUACAAUGGCCGGUACAGAGGGCAGCUACAUAGUGAUAUGAUGCAAAUCUCGAAAGCCGGUCUCAGUUCGGAUCGGAGUCUGCAACUCGACUCCGUGAAGGUGGAUUCGCUAGUAAUCGCAUAUCAGCCAUGAUGCGGUGAAUACGUUCCCGGGCCUUGUACACACCGCCCGUCAAGCCAUGGAAGCCGGGGGUACCUGAAGUCUGUCACCGCAAGGAGCGGCCUAGGGUAAAACUGGUAACUGGGGCUAAGUCGUAACAAGGUAACA